GCUUGGCUGGCCAGUCAGUAAAGCAUGAGACUCUUGAUCUUGGGGCUGUGAGUUCAAGCCCCACGCUGGGCC
rnacentral:tRNA from 1 species